rnacentral:rRNA from 1 species
AUUGAACGCUGGCGGCAUGCCUUACACAUGCAAGUCGAACGGCAGCACGGGUGCAAAGGGUAACCAAUGCGCCUGGUGGCGAGUGGCGAACGGGUGAGUAAAAUAUCGGAACGUACCCAGUAGAGGGGGAUAACUCGCUGAAAGGUGAGCUAAUACCGCAUACGCCCUGAGGGGGAAAGUGGGGGAUCGCAAGACCUCACGUUAUUGGAGCGGCCGAUAGCUGAUUAGCUAGUUGGAGGGGUAAAGGCCCACCAAGGCGACGAUCAGUAGCUGGUCUGAGAGGACGGCCAGCCACACUGGAACUGAGAGACGGACCAGACUCCUACGGGAGGCAGCAGUGGGGAAUUUUGGACAAUGGGGGCAACCCUGAUCCAGCAAUGCCGCGUGAGUGAAGAAGGCCUU